GCUGUUUUUUGUUGCUUGACUUCGGCCAGGACAUGCCUGUGACUGUCAAGUUGAUCUUUGAUCAUGCUUUGACUGGCCUCCUGCAUCUGCUGAAGCUGGCUCAUAGCCAGCUCCUGGUGUAGCAACAGGGAUUUCAGCCGCAGCUCCAAAAUUUGGCUGGCAAAGGCAGGUCGUCCAAAAGAGCAGAAACACUGGUCGCCAAGGUCCAGUCAGAUUCAUGGCAGCUACGCUCCAGCGCAAGUUUUAGUGCCACCUGUUCCUUUCGCUGCAAGGCGUACUGUGCGCUUCGAUGGGGAGAUUCGUGCUCAGCCAUCUUCUCCAUCACCUGUCAUCACCGCACACACUAUGAAGAUAAAUUCUGGGGUCUUAUAUUCUGAAACGACAUUAUAAGUACGGGACAUGCCAUAACAGUGCGUUUUGGAUGGAUUCUGACCCUUGGGGUUUCUUGACCUGUUUUUGGGCCUUGUCAAUGCAUUUCUAGUAAGUACGGUCAAUAAACACGGUUAAGGAUGA